rnacentral:rRNA from 1 species
CCCUUAGAUGUUCUGGGCCGCACGCGCGCUACACUGACGAAUGCAACGAGCUUAUAACCUUGGCCGGAAGGCCUGGGUAAUCUGUGAACGUGCAUCGUGAUAGGGAUAGAUUAUUGCAAUUAUUAAUCUUGAACGAGGAAUUCCUAGUAAACGCAAGUCAUCAGCUUGCAUUGAUUACGUCCCUGCCCUUUGUACACACCGCCCGUCGCACCUACCGAUCGAAGGUAAUGAUGAGCCCUCAGGAUUGUGGCCUCGUCGCGUCAGCGUCUUGGCUGCGAGAAUCUGUGCAAAUCCCUACCUUUAGAGGAAGGUGAAGUCGUAACA